AUUUUACCACAAAAAGCUCUGAGGAAUCAUGUUUCUUUGAGGUAGACAGGGACAGAUUGAAGAAAGAACUCACCCUGAAUUCCUGAGCACCUGGACCCACAGUUUCACACCCAACCUUCAUCUUGACCUAGCACACAGCAUUGCUAUUCCAGCUACAAACCCAGCCAGAGGUUUCAGAGGUGCGGCGCAUCCUCCUCGUUGCCAGACAGAACCGCUUCCUGCUCCAGGUGCAUCUCUCUUGCAGCUGUAAGAACAAACCCUCAGAAGACAAAAUCUCUUGUCACACGGACAGUCCUUCUCAGGUGAUUCCAGUUGCAUUAGCAAGCCUGGUUAAGUCUUUAUUCCUCUCUGAGUCUCUCUCAGGUCAAUUCCUGACUUUCAGUGAGUUACUGCAUCCAAAUUCUGGUUUGCAUAGUUUCAGGGGCUCCUUUGCACGUUGGGUAUCGUUUCUGAUUUCUCACCCUGCAAUGUCUGAAGUUCUCUUUCAGCAGCAGCACCGUGACUCUCCAGAGCCUUGACACAUAGCAAAUCAACACAGUGAGGCAAUGGCUCUUUCCCUCACCUCACCAACAUGUUACCUAGACGUCCUAACACAGCCCCUUGGUGGCCUCAGUCAACCCCCACUCAGACAUUCACUGUCCACCUCCUGCUUUUCCAUUUGCGCCAGGACACUGAACAUCAAAGCAGUGCCAAGAAGCCAGACUGAAACCAUACUGUACUCAAGACACUGCACUGAGAGAAGAGUACAAAAAGCCAGAAAAAGAGAGAAAGAGCUGGCAAGAGGAAAAGCGUGUGCCUGUGGCAAUUUCAAAAGUCAAGUGGUCAGCUCAAAUGGGGCUCACAGCUUUUGGGUCCCUCAUCAAAUCAGUGUGGGAGGUCUUAUGGAGGGAUCUGACACGUGGCUGUGCUCCAAGCUCGCCUCUCAGAGCGCCCAUUUGUACGGUCGCCCAUGUGUUACACCCAGACUGCACUGAGAUGGAUGUGCUCGGGCGUGGGGAUCAGGCUUCUGCCUGAACACAGCAGGUAGCAGGGGUACCUCUACCUCCCUCAACACUGGCUAUAAGCAACUUUGUAAUUUCAGACUUUGAGCACUAGAAAAAGCACAAUAAGCUCUUAUUCCUUACGUAAGAAUUUUUGAAAAAGCAUUUUAAGCAACAAGGCAAAUUUGAUAGAAGUUUGAUGGAGACAUCUUUUCCCAAACCCGUAGAGCCCUCCAUAGCAAUCGGAACGGGAUAUUCCUCUGCGUUCUCAUUGCUUUGGACAAUGCUGGGCAGGGCAUCUGCCGAGCAGUUUCCUACAUAGCACCCUUGUCUCCAUGGGGGACAAGCACCAGGGGCAGCUAACGAUGCAGGGAGAAGACCUGAAGGAGGUCAGCAGGACACCGCAGGAUUACAUUAUUAUGCCAGCUCAGUCAUUCAGCUGAAUACGUGUUAAAUUCAGCAGCUGGCUUGUGGCCAACCUUCUCUUUCUCCUCAAGUCCGAAUAGCCACCAGCGGGCUCGCACACAGUCACCCCUGCACCAGACAGGCUGGCUGGUGCUGUCUGUGAGUGCUGCUGGGGCUUCCUCUGCACUGCACAGCCCUCGCCUCAACGGUGACAUCUGCUGAGGAGCAGGGUAGGCAGCUCCCGAGGGGGCUGCUCCUGCGCUCCCCUACAUGAGAACAGGAGGUUUUCCUCCGACUGCACUGGAGAGGGGAUCGGGCCCCCCUUGCUGAACAAGCGCCUACCAAUUAGUGACACUUACUGAUCCUAUCUGUGGAGAAUCAUUAUGAAAAAUGCAAAGCAUUAUGCAGCCACUAUUAAUCUUCUGCCUUUGUUGCAUUUGCUCAUGGUUUAUGGCCCUCCAAGGAGGAUAAAUGAUCAAGGCAUGUACUCACAUUGUUAUUUGUCUAUUUGUCUGUGCAACAAUACACGUGCUCAGCACUAAGUAGAAGUUAUUUUUCAUGGGGAAUGCAGCUUUAAGGCUUUUCAAGG
rnacentral:lncRNA from 1 species